rnacentral:misc_RNA from 1 species
CGUAGGUGAACCUGCGGAAGGAUCAUUAGUGAAUUGAAUAUGUUAGCGGACCUCUUCGGAGUCCCUAGCAUCAAAUCAUAUCCAUAACACCUGCGAACUGUAAGGCUGUCUUGAAAACGAAAGUGAUUAGAGCGCCUGCCCAUUUUAUACAAACAUUAAAGUAACAAACGUAGUCUUAUUAUAAUCUAAUAAAACUUUCAACAACGGAUCUCUUGGCUCUC